rnacentral:rRNA from 1 species
CCAGACUCCUACGGGAGGCAGCAGUGAGGAAUAUUGGUCAAUGGGCGAGAGCCUGAACCAGCCAAGUCGCGUGAGGGAAGACGGUCCUAUGGAUUGUAAACCUCUUUUGCCGGGGAGCAAAAAGCGGUACGUGUACCGCAUCGAGAGUACCCGGAGAAAAGGCAUCGGCUAACUCCGUGCCAGCAGCCGCGGUAAUACGGAGGAUGCGAGCGUUAUCCGGAUUUAUUGGGUUUAAAGGGUGCGCAGGCGGGGAGUUAAGUCAGGGGUAAAAUCGCGGGGCUCAACCCCGCUCCGCCGUUGAAACUGUGUCCCUUGAGUGCGCGAAGGGUAGGCGGAAUGCGUGGUGUAGCGGUGAAAUGCAUAGAUAUUCGGAGGAACACCGGUGGCGAAGGCGGCCAACUGGGCUUUAACUGACGCUGAGGCUCGAAAGUGUGGGGAGCAAACAGGAUUAGAUACCCGCGUAUG